GCUUCCGUGGCGCAACUGGUUAGCGCGCACGGCUGUUAACCGUGAGGUUGGUGGUUCGAGCCCACCCGGGAGCG
rfam:Microsporidia sp. TGP3 contig-50, whole genome shotgun sequence.